UUCCAUUUGGCAGAUCAAUCAAAACUGUAACAAAGUCAAACUUCAGCGGAAAAACACGAAACAAAAUUCCCAGUAGUAAAAUUUACAAAAUUAUCACCCAUUGCAACUAAUACAAAACAGAGGGAAGAUGGACGCGUGAGUUGAAAUGGCGAAUUACAUAAAAUAACCUAGAAGUAAGCCUACGACACUCCUUCCGCAAGUAUAUGAUGUCCCCCCGUUGGGAGCGCGUGGUGUUCGCCGUCUGUCUGUUGGCCUCGUGGCUGCUGGGCGUGGCCGGCUGCGGCCAGAAGCGCAUCACUUGUAGUCCUACCAACCCGCCUUGCAAGAGAUAAAUAUUGUUCCAUUGUAAGUUGGCGAUGGAUAAAGCGUUCCUCCAAGAGGUGGUGAUACUUCUGGUGACGCUACUGCUGUCCUACCUGGAGACGUGCCUCGGCUGCGUGAGACACGAGUACACCAACUGUAACGAGAACAGCCCGCGCUGCACCGAGUCUAAGAAGUCGUCUUGACUGAUAGGUAAUAUUAAAAAUGGUGCUGUUUAACGAGUUCGUGCUGGUGUUCCUGCACAUCGCGGUGACGAUGUUCAGCAUGACGCAGGGAUGCAAGCGCACGCGCCGCCUCUGUGCGGACGAGUCGUGCCGGCCCUGCCACAGGCCCAAGCCUGAUAUAGGAUACGAGUCUAACAGUGUCAGAGUUAUUGUACCUAAGCAAGCGCAAAACCACUACCUGAAGAGCCACAGUCGUUGACGUGGCCACACUCACGCUUUACCAGAUUCAUACACACAAUGAAGAUGUGCAAUAAGUUGGUGGUGCUGCUCCUGUACUUCAUCUUGUUCCUGGCGAACGUGCUGGCUUGCUGCCCCAAGGACCAGCCAUUGAUGAAAGACAGCACCUCGGGGUCUGGGUUCUCCAGCUGCAGCAGCAACCAAACUGAAUCCUGUUCCGUAAUCCGGGUGCUUUACUAAAACUCCGAUCCCGUCAGUCACUGGAUAUUUACUUUUCUGUUGUCCCCAGUCAUCCCCGUUAUGCGCAUGAAGUUCGGCAAGGUGAUGGUCGUCUUGCUGCAGCUAUGCGCGGUGCUCACGCGCGUCGUCGGCUGCAGGCGGCGCGCGCGCAGGCCACCGAGCCACUGUCUACCCUGCACAUACAGGGGACCUAUCAUUGAAGUUAUUUAUCCUAAACCGAAGAAAAUCGUGAAAUGAAGGUCUUCUAAGAAAUUAUGUGCAUGCGCGUGCGUCUAACACUAGUAUGGUUGUUGGCGCUGCCGCUGUGCGCGGUGAUGCUGCGCACGGCCGCCUGCCGACGACGACGCUGUCCGCCCGACUGUCUGCCCUGCAGCUACAGGAAACCCAUCAUCGAAGUUAUCUAUCCUAAACCGCCAAAUAAACGCGUUUUGGAGAAACAUUGAAAUUGAUGGUUUGUACGAUUCAAAUAAUUUAUGUUCACAUUUUUAUUUAAUUACUUAAUUUAAUGUUCAUUUAAUUAUUAUGUAACUUAAAUAUACCUAUGUUUUUCAUAA